UACGUAGGGUGCAAGCGUUGUCCGGAUUUAUUGGGCGUAAAGAGCUCGCAGGCGGCCUGUCGCGUCUGCUGUGAAAUCCCGGGGCUUAACCCCGGGCGUGCAGUGGAUACGGGCUGGCUAGAGGCAGGCAGGGGAGAACGGAAUUCCCGGUGUAGCGGUGAAACGCGCAGAUAUCGGGAGGAACACCGGUGGCGAGGGCGGUUCUCUGGGCCUUACCUGACACUGAGGAGCGAAAGCGUGGGGAGCGAACAGG
rnacentral:rRNA from 1 species